ACGAUUUAAUCCAAAACGGAUUUUAUCGAUGGCAAAAAUACCCAUCUCAUAAUUCCGUUUCUACUUCUUCGUAUUCUGUGUGUCAAUACAUCUCUCAAAUCCAAUCCAGCAACCAACUAAAUCCGAGAAUCGAGCAAACAGUAGGUUCAGUUCAUGUCAAAUUCAAUAACCUAAAUCACCUUCAUUAGCAGGAUGUAGGGAUACCAACAUCAGCAUCAGUUUAUGAAAACGAAUUCAGAAACGAAAGAAAAUGUUGAGGAGAAUCAAUUGAUCAAACCAAAUUGAAGAUUUCAUAAGCGAUUGAAAGGGCAAUGAAAUAGAUGUCUACCCUUGCAGCGUGGGAUUACUCCAAGAAAGAAACUAUUGAAAUGGAGCUGGAGAAAAUUGAGGACUUCAUAAUUGGAGCUUUGUCAUGAAAGGUCGUCCUUCUUGUACUUUUCGAGGGAGCUUAAGGUAGAGAAGAAAAAUGGACAGGUUUUGGAUAUUAAUGAGGUGCACCUUGUCUUGUCUUUGGAUUUUCUGGAUUUUUGUAAAUGUGUACAUGUUUGUACACUAGUGUAAACUAAGAUUUUUGAAAAAUGAAAAUUAUAUAGUCAUAUGGGUACUCUUUUUGUAGCUCUCGGAAAGGGAUUUCCGAAUAUAUAUAAAAUUUGUGAAUUUUGGAUAAAAGGUUCGAAAGAUAAAUUAUUUUUUAAUUAUUUU